UAGGGAAUAUUGGACAAUGGGGGGCAACCCUGAUCCAGCAAUGCCGCGUGUGUGAAGAAGGUCUUCGGAUUGUAAAGCACUUUCGACGGGGACGAUGAUGACGGUACCCGUAGAAGAAGCCCCGGCUAACUUCGUGCCAGCAGCCGCGGUAAUACGAAGGGGGCUAGCGUUGCUCGGAAUGACUGGGCGUAAAGGGCGUGUAGGCGGUUUACACAGUCAGAUGUGAAAUCCCCGGGCUUAACCUGGGAGCUGCAUUUGAUACGUGUAGACUAGAGUGUGAGAGAGGGUUGUGGAAUUCCCAGUGUAGAGGUGAAAUUCGUAGAUAUUGGGAAGAACACCGGUGGCGAAGGCGGCAACCUGGCUCAUGACUGACGCUGAGGCGCGAAAGCGUGGGGAGCAAACAGGAUUAGAUACCCUGGUAGUCCACGCUG
rnacentral:rRNA from 1 species